AUAACUGUCAGAAUGUCUAUGUCAUAUUCAGUAUCAAAGAUGAUUGAGCAGAGACUGUAUCUAUAUUCCUUCCUUCCUUUCUCUGUUUAAGGCCUUUACUUAGGUCUGGAUAAGUGCUGUCUGGGGAAAGAAGAUAACUCCUGGACUUGCACUGCUGCUACUGUGUGCAAAUGGAAAUUCUGAAAUGCAGGGGAUGUGAUGGGAUGAGAGUAAAACCAUUUGUAUAGAGAAGCAGGAUUUUGUUCCAUCUAGUUCUACUUUAUACGUGAUGUUUCUUUUUUAUUGUUCUUUUCUUUUCUU
rnacentral:lncRNA from 10 species